rnacentral:rRNA from 1 species
ACAGCAGUCGCCGCGGGAAUACAGAGGGUGCGAGCGUUAAUCGGAUUUACUGGGCGUAAAGCGUGUGUAGGCGGCUUUUUAAGUCGGAUGUGAAAUCCCUGAGCUUAACUUAGGAAUUGCAUUCGAUACUGGGAAGCUAGAGUAUGGGAGAGGAUGGUAGAAUUCCAGGUGUAGCGGUGAAAUGCGUAGAGAUCUGGAGGAAUACCGAUGGCGAAGGCAGCCAUCUGGCCUAAUACUGACGCUGAGGUACGAAAGCAUGGGGAGCAAACAGGAUUAGAGACCCCCGUAGUCCCUGUCUCUUAUAA